rnacentral:lncRNA from 1 species
UAGUUAGGCUACAUCGUAGCCUUAGUAAAAUAAAUUAGUUCAUGUGAAUAUAAAAAGAAUCCAUAAAUUUAAUGGGAAACAUUCAAGUAAGAUAAUAGAGAAGAGAGAAAGAAAAACUCAAGAAGCUAUCUCUCUCCAAUCUCUGCAAUUGACUUCUCCAAAUUGUUGCUCCCGAUUUUACAGCAGCUUCUCUUGUUCUUUUCUUGCUCUCGGUUUUCUCUCCAAUUUUCAGUUGUUGUGUGGCUACCUUCUUGUCUCCUUUUGCUUCCGCUUGGCUUUCCC